GUGAGGAAUAUUGGUCAAUGGGCGGGAGCCUGAACCAGCCAAGUCGCGCGAAGGAAGAAGGAUCUAUGGUUCGUAAACUUCUUUUGCAGGGGAAUAAAGUGCAGGACGUGUCCUGUUUUGUAUGUACCCUGAGAAUAAGGAUCGGCUAACUCCGCGCCAGCAGCCGCGGUAAUACGGAGGAUCCGAGCGUUAUCCGGAUUUAUUGGGUGUAAAGGGUGCGUAGGUGGUUUGAUAAGUCAGCGGUGAAAGUUUGCAGCUUAACUGUAAAAAUGCCGUUGGAACUGUCGGACUUGAGUGUAAAUGAGGUAGGCGGAAUGCGUGGUGUAGCGGUGAAAUGCAUAGAUAUCACGCAGAACUCCGAUUGCGAAGGCAGCUUACUAAGCUACAACUGACACUGAAGCACGAAAGCGUGGGGAUCAAACAGGAUUAGAAACCCGGGUAGUCC
rnacentral:rRNA from 1 species